rnacentral:rRNA from 1 species
UACGUAGGGUGCAAGCGUUGUCCGGAAUUAUUGGGCGUAAAGAGCUCGUAGGCGGUCUGUCGCGUCGGCUGUGAAAUCCCGAGGCUCAACCUCGGGUCUGCAGUCGAUACGGGCAAACUUGAGUGUUGCAGGGGAGACUGGAAUUCCUGGUGUAGCGGUGAAAUGCGCAGAUAUCAGGAGGAACACCGGUGGCGAAGGCGGGUCUCUGGGCAACAACUGACGCUGAGGAGCGAAAGCGUGGGGAGCGAACAGG